rnacentral:rRNA from 1 species
GAUGAACGCUAGCGGCAGGCUUAAUACAUGCAAGUCGAGGGGCAGCAGGGUAGCAAUAUCGCUGGCGACCGGCGCACGGGUGCGUAACACGUAUACAAUCUGCCUUUAACAGGGGGAUAGCCCGGAGAAAUCCGGAUUAAUACCCCAUAAUAGUAGAACUGGCAUCAGUUUUAUUUGAAAGCUCCGGCGGUUAAAGAUGAGUAUGCGUCUGAUUAGCUAGUUGGUGAGGUAACGGCUCACCAAGGCGACGAUCAGUAGGGGAUCUGAGAGGAUUAACCCCCACACGGAUACUGAGACACGGAUCCGACUCCUACGGGAGGCAGCAGUAAGGAAUAUUGGACAAUGCCCGCAAGGGUGAUCCAGCCAUGCCGCGUGCAGGAAGACGGCCCUAUGGGUUGUAAACUGCUUUUACACCGGAGAAAACCUCCCCUCGUGAGGGGAGCUGAUAGUAUGGUGAGAAUAAGCAUCGGCUAACUUCGUGCCAGCAGCCGCGGUAAGACGAAGGAUGCAAGCGUUAUCCGGAUUCAUUGGGUUUAAAGGGAGCGUAGGUGGACUGAUAAGUCAGUGGUGAAAUCUUCGAGCUUAACUCGGAAAUUGCCAUUGAUACUGUUGGUCUUGAGUACAGUUGCUGUGGGCGGAAUAUGACAUGUAGUGGUGAAAUACAUAGAGAUGUCAUAGAAUACCGAUUGCGAAGGCAGCUCACAAAGCUGUAACUGACACUGAGGCUCGAAAGUGUGGGGAUCAAACAGGAUUAGAUACCCUGGUAGUCCACACUGUAAACGAUGAUUACUCGCUGCUAGAGGGCAACUUUUAGUGGCUUAGCGAAAGCGAUAAGUAAUCCACCUGGGGAGUACGCCGGCAACGGUG